rnacentral:rRNA from 1 species
GACGAACCGUGCGAACGUUGUUCGGAAUCACUGGGCAUAAAGGGCGCGUAGGCGGCUUAUCAAGUCAGGGGUGAAAUCCGGCAGCUCAACUGUCGAAGUGCCUUUGAUACUGACGAGCUCGAGGGAGGUAGGGGUCUGUGGAACUUCCGGUGGAGCGGUGAAAUGCGUUGAUAUCGGAAGGAACGCCGGUGGCGAAAGCGACAGACUGGAUCUCUUCUGACGCUGAGGCGCGAAAGCUAGGGGAGCAAACGGG